UACGUAGGGUGCGAGCGUUGUCCGGAAUUAUUGGGCGUAAAGAGCUCGUAGGCGGCUUGUCGCGUCGGAUGUGAAAGCCCGGGGCUUAAACUCCGGGUCUGCAUUCGAUACGGGCAGGCUAGAGUUCGGUAGGGGAGAUCGGAAUUCCUGGUGUAGCAGUGAAAUGCGUAGAUAUCAGGAGGAACACCGGUGGCGAAGGCGGUUCUCUGGGCCUUACCUGACACUGAGGAGCGAAAGCGUGGGGAGCGAACAGG
rnacentral:rRNA from 1 species